rnacentral:tRNA from 1 species
CUCCUCCUACGUCGGCCGACGCCGCGGCCUACAGCGCCGCGGCGGCGCGCGCACUAGGCUGGUGCCAGGAUCCAACCAAGGAGA